CAUGCAAGUCGAGCGCCCCGCAAGGGGAGCGGCAGACGGGUGAGUAACGCGUGGGAAUCUACCCAUCACUACGGAACAACUCCGGGAAACUGGAGCUAAUACCGUAUACGUCCUUCGGGAGAAAGAUUUAUCGGUGAUGGAUGAGCCCGCGUUGGAUUAGCUAGUUGGUGGGGUAAUGGCCUACCAAGGCGACGAUCCAUAGCUGGUCUGAGAGGAUGAUCAGCCACACUGGGACUGAGACACGGCCCAGACUCCUACGGGAGGCAGCAGUGGGGAAUAUUGGACAAUGGGCGCAAGCCUGAUCCAGCCAUGCCGCGUGAGUGAUGAAGGCCCUAGGGUUGUAAAGCUCUUUCAACGGUGAAGAUAAUGACGGUAACCGUAGAAGAAGCCCCGGCUAUCUUCGUGCCAGCAGCCGCGG
rnacentral:rRNA from 1 species